GCCCGCCUAGCUCAAUCGGAUAGAGCGCAAGACUUUUAAGGCGGGUUGGAUCAUUGAUCCAGCUCUUAAGAGCAUCUUGAGGCUGCGAGUUCGACCCUCGCGGUGGGCU
rnacentral:tRNA from 1 species